rnacentral:lncRNA from 1 species
AGGUGUCCCAGCAAAACUAGAGCCAGAAAGACCUGUGUGUGUGUGUGUGUGUGUGUGUGUGUGUGUGUGUGUGUGUGUGUGUGUGUGUGUACCCAUAAACACAUGCAUAUAUGCUCAAGAUCAGAAGAGCACAUCGAGAGUCCUUCUCUGUCACUCUUCACUUUAUUCCCUCCAGACGGGGUCUCUCAAUGAACCUGGAACUAGGUUUACUGCCAGAAAGCCACGUGAUCUCAUAGCUUGGAAGUUAUAGACACACACAGGACCAUACCAGUUCUUUUGUUUGUUUGUUUGUUUGUUUGUUUGUUUUACAGGAGGGGACUGUUCUGGGGAUUUGAACUCAGAUCUACAUGGUUAUGCAGCAAGCAUUGUUACCCGUGGAUCCGUCUCCCCAGCCCACCCAGGCAAGUGGUUGCUUCAGCAGCACCUUUCUGACAUAUCUUAAUUGUCACAUGGAGGUGACCUGAGAAAAUGCCAGCUCCAAAACAAGAGACUGAAGCGUGUGGUCAUGAGCUGGGAGAAGCUUCAGUGGGCGUGACAUUUCAUCUUGGAACACAGAGUCACCUCUGCGGAAUUAUUUCACCAAGAGGCUCAUGCCGGAAGUGUAGGAUCUACAUCUCAUGAUUCAGCAUGAACAAGUGCAGAGGGGACAACUGGCAGCAGCCACUGACUCAGGGGAUAGACAGUGUGGCUCAGCACCCAAAGCAGCCUCUGUAGGACUAGCAGGGAAGUCAGACUGAGCAGGAAACCCCAGCUACCAAGGCAGAAAGAAAGAAAGACACCAUGCUGAGCUUCUCUGGGAAGAAAGCGCAGGGUGGACCCUUAGCUGCCUGGCCACUCACAAGCAAGUCCUCUGCUCUGGAAGCAUCUGGUCACUCACCAGCCACCCCACCCAUAUCCUAAGCUGUGCGCAGGGCUCAGGUCAAAACUCUGUCGUGACUCUGCAUUCAGAGUUGUUUUACAAAUCGUCAGACCUGGGGAACAUCUCAGACAAAAAGUGGGACUUCUGCUCAGAAGGCGUGAGGACUGUCAAAACAUAAGUCCCCUAAGAACCCAGAGGAUAACCAUAGAAAGACUGGAGUGCACACAGGGCCAGACCUGUGUCUACAUCUUAGAAGGCUGUAAGUCUGAAGAGUUCUGUGUCCUCUGUA